GAGGAGGAUGAGGAGGAGGAAGAGGAGGAGGAGGAAGAGGAGGCUGGUCAUACUCAAGGAUUACUCUGAUUUUUAACUAUCCCAGAUGUCUCUGGAAUGUAGCUCCCAGGAUGGAUGAGGGUGAGAGAACAUCUGGUACAGACAUGCCAACAAGGGGCAACCAGCCAACUAACUGCACAGCUGAGUUCUGCUCUUAGCACCCUACCUCUCUGAAUUCCUCAGCUAUCCUGGGAGGAGUAGUCCUUGAAAACAUCCCAUUUAAAAGCCUGAAGACAGGAAAGAAGUUCCAUUUACAUAAUGAAGCCCCAGAGAAGACAACUUAACUUGAUAAAAAUCAACACGGCUGUAUGGAAAUAUAAACAGGCUCCUAAAGGACACUCUGCUGUAAUUGGGAGGCUGAAGAGGUUGCUUGACCAAAGGAUUCAAAACAGUGAAUAUUCUUUAGAAAAACUCAAUGCUCAGAGGAAGAAGGGCAUUGAUAGGUGGCAAUGGUGAAGGCAGAAUUCUCUGCUAUUCCACAAGCAUCUUUUCCUUCUUGACACAAAGAGAAUAUUAAAAUAAAUAA